rnacentral:rRNA from 1 species
UACGGGGGGGGGCAAGCGUUGUUCGGAAUUACUGGGCGUAAAGGGCUCGUAGGCGGCCAACUAAGUCAUACGUGAAAUCCCUCGGCUUAACCGGGGAACUGCGUCUGAUACUGGAUGGCUUGAGUUCGGGAGAGGGAUGCGGAAUUCCAGGUGUAGCGGUGAAAUUCGUAGAUAUUCGCAAGAACACCAGUGGCGAAGGCGGCUCACUGGCCCGAUACUGACGCUGAGGUGCGAAAAGCGUGGGGAGCAACAGGAUUAGAAACCC